AACGAACGCUGGCGGCAUGCCUAACACAUGCAAGUCGAACGAGACCUUCGGGUCUAGUUGCGCACGGGUGCGUAACGCGUGGGAACCUGCCCUUAGGUUCGGAAUAACUCCCCGAAAGGGGUGCUAAUACCGGAUAAUGUCUUCGGACCAAAGAUUUAUCGCCUUUGGAUGGGCCCGCGUUGGAUUAGCUAGUUGGUAGGGUAAAAGCCUACCAAGGCGACGAUCCAUAGCUGGUCUGAGAGGAUGAUAAGCCAGACUGGGACUGAGACACGGCCCAGACUCCUACGGGAGGCAGCAGUGGGGAAUAUUGUGCAAUGGGCGAAAGCCUGAUCCAGCAAUGCGGCGUGAGUGAUGAAGGCCUUAGGGUAGUAAAGCUCUUUUACCCGGGAUGAUAAUGACAGUACCGGGUGAAUAAGCACCGGCUAACUACGUG
rnacentral:rRNA from 1 species